rnacentral:rRNA from 1 species
ACGUAGGUGGCGAACGUUAUUCGGAUUUACUGGGCGUAAAGCGGGUGUAGACGGCCGCUUAAGUCGAAUGUGAAAUCUCCUGACUUAAUCAGGAGGCGUCGUUCGAUACUGAGUGGCUUGAGGGCAUCAGAGGAAGACAGAAUUCCCGGUGUAGCGGUGAAAUGCGUAGAUAUCGGGAGGAAUACCAGUGGCGAAGGCGGUCUUCUAGGAUGUUCCUGACGUUGAGGCCCAAAAGCGUGGGGAGCAAAACGGAUUAGAUACCCGUGUAGUCCACGCCCUAAACGGUGGAUACUAGGUAUAGGGGGUAUCGACCCUCUCUGUGCCGAAGCUAACGCUUUAAGUAUCCCGCCUGGGGACUACGGCCGCAAGGCUA